AUUGAACGCUGGCGGCAUGCCUUACACAUGCAAGUCGAACGGCAGCACGGGUGCUUGCACCUGGUGGCGAGUGGCGAACGGGUGAGUAAUACAUCGGAACAUGUCCUGUAGUGGGGGAUAGCCCGGCGAAAGCCGGAUUAAUACCGCAUACGAUCUACGGAUGAAAGCGGGGGACCUUCGGGCCUCGCGCUAUAGGGUUGGCCGAUGGCGGAUUAGCUAGUUGGUGGGGUAAAGGCCUACCAAGGCGACGAUCAGUAGCUGGUCUGAGAGGACGACCAGCCACACUGGGACUGAGUCACGGCCCAGACUCCUACGGGAGGCAGCAGUGGGGAAUUUUGGACAAUGGGCGAAAGCCUGAUCCAGCAAUGCCGCGUGUGUGAAGAAGGCCUUCGGGUUGUAAAGCACUUUUGUCCGGAAAGAAAUCCUUGGCCCUAAUACGGUCGGGGGAUGACGGUACCGGAAGAAUAAGCACCGGCUAACUACGUG
rnacentral:rRNA from 1 species